rnacentral:rRNA from 1 species
UACGGAGGGUGCAAGCGUUAUCCGGAUUCACUGGGUUUAAAGGGUGCGUAGGCGGCUUGGCAAGUGGAAGGUGAAAUCCCUCGGCUUAACCGAGGAACUGCCCUCCAAACUGCUUUGCUUGAGGCCGGGAGAGGUGAGUGGAAUUCCCAGUGUAGCGGUGAAAUGCGUAGAUAUUGGGAGGAACACCAGUGGCGAAGGCGGCAUCCUGGACCGGCAUUGACGCUGAGGAGCGAAAGCCAGGGGAGCAAACGGG